UGGGGAAUUUUUCGCAAUGGGCGCAAGCCUGACGAAGCAACGCCGCGUGGAGGAUGAAGGUCUUCGGAUUGUAAACUCCUGUCGACCGGGACGAAUGCACUCGACCUAAUACGUCGGAAUGUUGACGGUACCGGUGGAGGAAGCCACGGCUAACUCUGUGCCAGCAGCCGCGGUAAUACAGAGGUGGCAAGCGUUGUUCGGAAUUACUGGGCGUAAAGGGCGCGUAGGCGGCCCCAUAAGUCUCGUGUGAAAGCCCUCGGCUUAACUGAGGAUCUGCACGGGAUACUGUGGGGCUCGAGUUCGGGAGAGGAAUGUGGAAUUCCAGGUGUAGCGGUGAAAUGCGUAGAUAUCUGGAGGAACACCGGUGGCGAAGGCGGCAUCCUGGACCGGUAUUGACGCUGAGUGAGCGAAAGCCAGGGGAGCAAACGGGAUUAGAUACCCGAGUAGUCCCUGAGCGGGCUGGCAAGGCGCAU
rnacentral:rRNA from 1 species